rnacentral:rRNA from 1 species
UCGGGCCUGCAGUGGGUACGGGCAGACUAGAGUGCGGUAGGGGAGAUUGGAAUUCCUGGUGUAGCGGUGGAAUGCGCAGAUAUCAGGAGGAACACCGAUGGCGAAGGCAGAUCUCUGGGCCGUAACUGACGCUGAGGAGCGAAAGGGUGGGGAGCAAACAGGCUUAGAUACCCUGGUAGUCCACCCCGUAAACGUUGGGAACUAGUUGUGGGGACCAUUCCACGGUUUCCGUGACGCAGCUAACGCAUUAAGUUCCCCGCCUGGGGAGUACGGCCGCAAGGCUAAAACUCAAAGGAAUUGACGGGGACCCGCACAAGCGGCGGAGCAUGCGGAUUAAUUCGAUGCAACGCGAAGAACCUUACCAAGGCUUGACAUAUACGAGAACGGGCCAGAAAUGGUCAACUCUUUGGACACUCGUAAACAGGUGGUGCAUGGUUGUCGUCAGCUCGUGUCGUGAGAUGUUGGGUUAAGUCCCGCAACGAGCGCAACCCUCGUUCUAUGUUGCCAGCACGUAAUGGUGGGAACUCAUGGGAUACUGCCGGGGUCAACUCGGAGGAAGGUGGGGAUGACGUCAAAUCAUCAUGCCCCUUAUGUCUUGGGCUUCACGCAUGCUACAAUGGCCGGUACAAAGGGCUGCAAUACCGUAAGGCGGAGCGAAUCCCAAAAAGCCCCUCCCAGUUCGGAUUGAGGUCUGCAACUCGACCUCAUGAAGUCGGAGUCGCUAGUAAUCGCAGAUCAGCAACGCUGCGGUGAAUACGUUCCCCGGUCUUGUACACACCGCCCGUCAAGUCAUGAAAGUCAGUAACACCUGAAGCCGGUNGCCCAACCCUUG